UGAGGAAUCUUCCACAAUGGGCGAAAGCCUGAUGGAGCGACACCGCGUGAAGGAUGAAGCCUUUGUUGGUGUAAACUUCUUUUCUCUCCGAAGAUAAUGACGGUAGGAGAGGAAUAAGGGGCGGCAAACUAUGUGCCAGCAGCCGCGGUAAUACAUAGGCCCCAAGCGUUAUCCGGAAUUACUGGGUGUAAAGCGUCUGUAGGUGGUCUUAACAGUCUCGUGUGAAACUUCGGAGCUCAACUCCGAAUUG
rnacentral:rRNA from 1 species